CUGGGAUUAAAACGUCACAUGCAGUGCAAGUUGGAGUAUGAUGAAGUUACAUUUUGCAAGUUUGGGACUAAAUUAUCACAUCUCUACUACUAAUAAACAAGCAAACAAGAACUUCGCUAAGUACACCCGGCAACUUGUCACACAAAACGCACGGAACAAUCAACACCACACAAUUAUACCCGCACAUCUAAAUCUAACAGCCAUCAUUCAUUUGCUGCCUGUACGGUGUGGACUUACGAAAUACCCUUGACUGACCGUGCUCCACCUCCAGCACCCCCCAUCCACCCCCUACAAUCACGCCGUACUCCAGGUAAAUAAGGAAACAACAUUAAUUCGUCAUCACACCACGCUGAUCUCCUGGUAAAAUAAGGAAACAAAAUUAAUUCGACAUCGCACCGUCGCACCAUCGCCAAUGUCAUCACCAUUGUUGCCGACCAACGUGGAGACCGUCCGCGAGCAGCGUCGCUUCCUUCCCCGAGGUCGCCAGGGCAGCGACGCCACAGAACUUCCAGCAAGGUCGCCAGGGCAGCGACGCCAGGGAACGCCCAGGAUCCUGCCCUCGCAGCGUGGCAUCCCUACGGGAGAUCCCCACUGGUACAGCCCGCCCUGCCCGUCGCAGCCAGCCGGAUACACGCAGCUGUAAAAUUCUUCUCUCCACUUUAGUCUAAACUUCUUCCUUCGACCUGCUUCUUCCUUUGACCUGUAGCAUCAAUACUCCAAAUUGUUAUUUUCAGAAUAUAUAGUUCUAAAAUAUACACGCGUGCACAUCACAAUACUACACAUCUGUCUCGAUUUCCAGCCUAACUGAUACAUGCAUCCUAUGUCCUAGACCUGGUGUGAACUAAAAUAGCCAUUCAUAUUUUAGAGUUGUGGUUUCGAAGUUAUUUGUAAAUGUAAUCCAUAUGAACAUUAUUCUUUUACUUACUUCAUUAACAUAUGUGCCAAUAUGUUCGCACCAUACCCUCAGGGCCAUUACCUUGACUGUCCAUUCUAGAUAAUUAAGCUCCAAGGCACUUGAUCAAUUGACAACUGUAAAAAACAGGUUGCAAGUGCAUGUGAUGCCUACUUACUUUCUGAUGAAGUCAUAACCAUCUGCAUACUUGGUUGCCUGAUUUUAUUUUAAAUGGAGUUGUAUGCGUUGGUAAGAAAUUAAGGUGUUUGUAAACUUGGUGAGACUAUCUUGACGACAAAGGGAGGGGACAAACUAUAGCCGCUCUUAUCCCCUUAGAGGGAGAGGUUAGGAGAGAACAAACCAUGUCUUUAGUCUAAACUUCUUCCUUCGACCUGCUUCUUCCUUUGACCUGUUGAAUCAAUACUCGGAAUUGUAAUUUUCAGAAUAUAUAAUUCUAAAAUAUAAACAUGUGCACAUCACAAUACUACACAUCUGUAGCUAAUGUUUAUUGACCUGUUGCAGCAAUACUCAGAAUUGUAAUUUUCAGAAUAUAUAGUUCUAAAAUAUACACAGCUGCACAACACAAUACUACACAUCUGUAGCGAUUUCCAGCCUAACUGACACAUGCAUCCUAUGUCCUAUACCUGGCAUGAACUAAAAUAGCAAUUCAUAUUUUAGAUUACAUCUAGCAGUGGGGAUAAAAAAUAUAGCUUCAUUGUCCCAAGUAGAUACGUCAGGAUAAAGAAUAGAAGUUAAUUUCCGCACCAAUAAAUCACAAUUUCUGUACCUGCCAAAGCAACAUUCUAUGUUUGCGGCUCAACAGUAGGGCCAAUAUCAUCUUCUGCCUUCUGUUUUUGUGUAAGUGAACAGGAGGGCCAACCACUGAGAGUGGUCCUGCAAGGAGACCUGCCAUUACAACUUCCUAUUAAUAAUGUAAAUACGGCUUUGAUGAAGCACAUUAUCAACUUCCCAAUUUUUUAUGAUAGCAAUAUUCAUAUGUAGGCCAAGGGUAUGUCAUAUCCCAAGAGUGCGGGAGCGCGCACCCCAUUUCAGGAUCUAAGUAACAACCGACUAUUGGGUAAUUAUCGUCAGCCUUUUCCUAAAAAUGUCAUACUGUAUUUGUUGGUGCUUAUAUCCUAACUUGCGGUAUGUACUUCUAUCCUAACUUGCGGUAUCUACUUAUGCAGACCCCAAAGAAUUGAAGAAGCAGAGGAACAGAGAGUACUAUGCACGCAAUAAAGAUGAUAUCCUUAAAAGACGGCGUGAGGCCCGUGAGAAGAAACAGGCUUCAACAACACUGCUUAAUGUCGAUCAAAAUGUACCUCAUACACCCCAGCCGUUGGCCCGAGGUAAAAUUUCCCUUACACUGCAUUCUUAUGUAUUGGUCCAAAAACUUAUAAGAUGCAUGCACCAAACUAACAACAAUAUGUCAUAGAUAUGGACCCUAACGAACUGCAGAGCCAACUGGUUGGGAUACAGUAUUCACAGAACAUAGAUGGUGUCUUCGAGAGACAACAUCAAGCCUAUAGUGAUAUUGAAAUGACCGGUGUGGAUGGCGAUGUCAAUGAACAAGAAAAUGAAACAGUUACACCGGUGCCCAUGUACAUCGGUAAUGCUGAUCAACAAAGUAUAUACAACCCUAUGUGUUCAUACUAAUUAACUUUAUUACACAUAUAUGCAGACCCUAAGGAGUUGAGGAGGCAAAGGAACAGGGAGCGGUAUGCACAAAAUAGGUAUUCAGAAAAUGGUUGUACAGAGAGUUUCCAGAACAUUAUAGAUGGAUACCUGGAAAUAAGAAGUGGCAGAAUAGAAGAAAUAAGUGAUCACAGAUUGGAAGACUUGUGCAUGCACACCCUGCUGAAGGAGAGAGGUACUACUUGCGUGUGCUCCUAAGUCAUGUCUGAGGUGCCACUUCAUUCGAUGAUUUAAAAACAGUAAAUGGCAAGCCAUGCAGUUCCUUCAGGGAGGCAUGUGAGCACUUAGGCCUUAUUGAGCACGGCAGGACUCUUGAUGAUUGCAUGACGGAGGCAGCCACAUUUCAGAUGUCUUCUGCCCUAAGACGGUUAUUUGCAACUAUACUGGUGUUUUGCGAGGCAACAGAAAUCCGGCAGCUGUGGGACAAACACCUGGCAUCAAUGUCUAAGGAUUACCGGCGUAAUCAAUCCAAUGAGGCAACACUUGAGUAGAUGGUCCUCAGAGAUAUCAGGGAUAUGUUGCAAUCCAUGGGAAAAGAUAUUACAAGCUAUGGACUUCCGGAUUUGGUUGAGAACGAUGGUUCUUCUGAUGGUGAGUACAAAGAGGUAACAGAGGAGAGGCAAGUCAGCGUGGACAAAGAACACCUAGAUUUAUUUAGUAGUUUGAACAAUGAACAGCUGGCUGGUUUCAAUGAAAUCAUGGAUCAUGUGAUGGAACACAAAAGCCAGAUAUUCUUUGUUGAUGGUCCAGGAGGCACCGGCAAGACAUACUUGUACAAGGCAUUGCUUGCAAAGGUGCGUUCGAUGGGCCAGAUAGCGAUUGCAACUGCUACAUCAGGUAUAGCGGCGUCAAUAAUGCCCGGAGGACGGACUGCGCACUCCAGGUUCAAAAUUCCAAUCAAGCUCACUGACAACAUCAUGUGUAGUUUCACAAAGCAGAGUGGUACAGCGGAGUUGCUUAAACAAGCCUCCUUGAUAAUUUGGGACGAGGUCGCUAUGACAAAACGUCAAGCAGUUGAGACGCUUGAUAGAUCCCUGCAGGACAUAAUGGACUGUUCUUUGCCAUUUGGGGGAAAGGUUGUCGUCUUUGGUGGGGAUUUCAGGCAGGUCCUCCCCGUUGUGACACGUGGGACAAGAGCACAGAUCACGGAUGCUACACUUCUAAGAUCCUAUCUGUGGGAGAAGACCCGGAAGAUACGCCUCACGUGCAAUAUGCGAGCACAGGCUGAUCCUUGGUUCUCUGAAUACCUCCUACGGAUCGGCAAUGGAACAGAAGAGACAAUUGGCGACGACUAUGUGCGUCUCCCUGACGACAUUGUGAUCGGCUAUACCGAGGAUGAGAAAGCUAUUAACACACUCAUCGACAAUGUCUUCCCAUCGUUGCAUGCCAAUGCUAGAUCGAGAGAGUAUAUGAGCACACGUGCUAUUCUUUCCACCAAGAACGAUCAUGUUGAUGACCUGAAUGACAAGAUGAUCUCCAGGUUUCCAGGCUCAGAAAAGUUAUACCAUAGCUUCGACUCCAUCGAGGAUGACUUGCAGAAUAAUUACACGAUUGAUUUUCUAAACUCGAUCACACCAAAUGGCUUGCCCCGCAUGUGUUGAGAUUAAAGGUUAACUGCCCGGUCAUUCUGCUCCGGAACCUCGUUACUCAUAAUGGCCUAUGCAAUGGGACACGACUUAUGAUUAGAGCCUUCCAGGAUAAUGCAAUCGACGCAGAGAUUGUUGGUGGUCAGCAUGCUGGAAAGAGGGUCUUCAUACCUAGGAUCCCUAUGUCGCCCUCGGAGGACAUCUCACUUCCUUUCAAACUUAAGAGGAAACAGUUCCCCAUUCGCCUGAGUUUUGUGAUGACAACUAACAAGGCGCAGGGUCAGACUAUCCCAAACGUCGGUAUUUACCUUCCCGAGCCAGUAUUCUCACAUGGUCAGCUAUAUGUUGCAUUGUCAAGGGGAGUGUCCAGAGAGACGACGCGGAUUUUGGCCAAGCCAAACAACGAGGUUGAUAAAUCUGGGAAAAGCACCAAGAACAUUGUCUAUAGAGAUGUUUUGGGGAGAUGAGGCAGGUGCGCUAUUCCGGCAUUUAUUUGCACCUUGUUAUUGUAUCUAUAACUACUUGUGGAUCUAACAUUAUUUGUUUUUAUUUGCAGGUUUAGCGAAGGAGAAUAAGCAGCAGAAGAGGAGGUAAGGUGGAUGAACACAAGGGUAUCUUCUUCGAUCGAGCAAAAGGUGAGAGCUCUGCUUCUCCAUCUGAUCCCCCCUAAUAUGUAUGUAAUGACCAGAUGGGGUACGCACGUGAUAUGUAAUAAUCAGAUGGAGUAGGCAUACAUAAUGAUAGUGCCUACACCUUUUUUCAGAUGAUAAGAGCAAAAUGUAUGCUACUGUGUUCUUUUUGAGCUUCCAUGCAUAAUAUUUUUCUAUGAGUAUAAUGUGCUAAUGUGCUGAUGUAUUGCAAUAUUUCAGGUUUUCAAGUUUGUCAGGUGAGAAACACUGCAUAGAAAAAAGGUUGAACAGACAUUCAUGGCAGGAAGAGGUAGAGGACAAAUUGAGUGUCGAGGUACUCCGUGAGAAAGAGGAUAAAGAAAGGAGUCAGCACAUGAAGAGAGGCACCCAAAGUUAAAAUGAUACAGUCCUAAUAACAUCAACAAUCUAUCAUAGUUAUUAGCUUUUGCUAUUCACUUGCUGUUUAGCCUAUAGUUCAGCAUCAGCUGAGAUUGUGCUCCACUUUUGGGCCAUCAGAUUUCCAUGUUCUGAUAAUUAACCGAAUGGGUUAUGUUUUAAUGUAACUGAUUUAGGUAUGCAACUGUUUAUGCAUAUAAUUCUGAAGAACACACAUCAUUGCUGUUAAUAAUAUAUUGUACACGACUUGCUUCUUGAUAAUGUCAAGCAUUAUUACUACUAUAUUGAACAUACGUCCAGGACAAAAGUUUGUUUUACUAGAAAAAUUUAAGCUGGUUGAAAUAACUAGCAUGUAUCUUCUCAUUGCAAAAUUUUAUUUUACACGUGAUCAGCAAUAAUAUAAUAUAAAACUUAAGUACGAAACUCACCACAGUGGAAAUCUGCUAUGUCAUCGUUUUAUCAGGCUCACAUCUCUUGGAACAACUUAAAGCAAUUCCCUGGCCCCUCCUGUCCAGCACAGCCACUGAACUAAACCUUCUGUAUCUGUAUAUAAAAAGGUAAGAAAAAACACACACAAAAUCAAAGAUACGUUCUGAUGAGCUGAAACCAAUAUUUUUGUAUUAAAAUGUAUCUACACUACUAUUAAAAGAGCAAACAUGAAUUCUCCUACAACCACACCACAAAAUGUACACAGGAUAACCUGCACCCCACGAUCAAUUACAUCUAAUGAAAUCUAACAGCACAGAUUCAUUCAGCGGUCUGCCAUCCGAUUGGAUGUCUUAGAUUCAAUGUUCUGCCACCCACGUCUGCCCCGCACACGUUCUGCCCUUCAGAUCGAUCGGCAUCAUGAUUUUUUCUCGCUCAACGCCGCCGCACCUCCAUACGUCACCCAGCCCUAGCUCCGGUGGCUGCGUCGCCCAUGACGCCGACGAUUUCUAUUGGGAUGUCGCGGACGAGCGAGGCGGAGUUCCAGGCCAUCGAGGCCGCCUACGCCGUCGAGUAGGCCAAGCCGCCUGCCCACGACACCGGCGCCGGCGACGCCCAACACAUGGUCCCAACAGUCGGCGGUGCUACCUCGCCGUCAUGGAUCCUAGCCAAGGUAGAGCUCCCCUCUUCUUGUUUCCCAUAUCCCCUUUCUUUCAAAAUUCUGAACCCAAAGAUACAGAUCCACCGACGUUGCGCUUGGUCAUGGAAAUUGCAUCCUUGCACCAGUAUUAACAAGACGUCUAUAAUCCAUCUACCUGCAUGCUUAGGCUAGCCCUUGUGUACGCCGUGUUGCGGUAUGCUUCCAAUCGGUCAAGAAUAAAUCCAUCUUGUACGACGCAUACCUGUUGGAAAGCAUAAAGCACUCUGGUGAAUCACUUUGGGAGUUAAUGGUUGUGCCAAAAAUUGGUACCAGAUCACAGGUUGUUCUUCCAUGAUUUUCAAAAAGCAAGCACAAGAUCAUGGUGUUACUGAAGUGAGAAGAUAAUUGAUCUAUAAUCCAGUUGUGUGUCAAGCCUGCAUCAAUAGUGUUGUAGUAUUGACAAAAACCAUGUCAAUGUUGCUACAUUUUCAUCACCAACAAUGAGAACCCAGUUUUGGUAAAUUAAUUUGUGUAAUAAUAUGUUCAUUACUGAUCCUGAACGAGGAGUAAACAGAUUAGUUUCUAAAGCUUCUCCGUUGGGAUGUGUAGGCCAGAAGGACAGCUAGAGUCGCCGCCGUCGCUUAUGGAGCUCCACACCAUUGCCCAGUUGUACAAUAGCAUGUGCAAUCUUCUCCGUUCAAGACUAAGUGCAACUGGUGAACUCUUUGCCAAACAAGAAGAUAUGACUAUCAGGCAUAUAUGCCCCAUAAGUUAGCUAUAUAGUAAUUCACUUGUAGUAGUGUGGAUUAUGGUCACAUUUUGUCUAGGACUGCAGAUACCUAUGUCAAUAAAAAUGGAUAUUCUGCAUAUUCUUCUGAAUUUUUAGUAAGGGCUCCAUGUAUAAGGUAUGCACUAUGCAGUAGUUCUGACCUGAAGCACUGAUCAAUUCUUCACAUGCAGGAACGUGGAGAGAUGGAUCUGGUGGAUUGUAGCCACAAGGUGAGUGGCUUGAUCCUUAAUUAAUCCAGUUAAAUUUCAUGGAUUAUUGAUUAGUUUUUUAGCAAGCAAAUUUCUGUACAUCUGAUUGGAGGGGUACUACUGUAGUAUGUGGAAGAAAGAGUAUGUCUGCACCUGAUGGUGAUCUGCCAAAGUUUUGUACUUUCUACGGUAAAUUUGUUACAUGAUAAUGAUAAUGAUAUACUGCAUCCGUAAAGAAAUAUAAGAGCAUUUAGAACACUAACGCUCUUAUAUUUCUUUACAGAGGGAGUACAUCCUAUACUGAACAGGAGCAAGACAGAAAAGAAUAAAAGAUUCUCUCCAAAUUAAUUACGGAUUGUUUCCUGUGAUUUUCAAUUCCAAGUAAUAAAGGAUAUAAGGUUACAAUUCAUCACCUGAAAAAACAGAUCUUUCUAGUCAUAGCUAUGUCUUCUCCAAGUGACCAUACCCUUAAGCAUUUGAUGAAAGUGGAUAUAUCAUCAAGAGCCCUGCAAGCAAAUUUAUCUACAACAGGAAACACACAAUGAUGACAUAUCAGAUAUUCACCUUCACUAUCUGAACUGUUUAAUGUUUACUUCCGCUUCUAAUGUUAGCUUAUCUAGCAAAUUUCUGUUAUUCUGAACAUCUAAUUGACUUUCAAAUAGUACAGGAGCGAGAUAUCCAGCUAUAAUUACAGUAGGGAUCGAUGCUAAUUAAACCUCUUGACACACUCAUUUGAAAGUCAAGUAUAUUUAUGCAGCGACGCCUUAUUACUCCUAAGAAGAUAUCAUUACUUCUGCCCAUAGGAAGAGAUAUUACACCAUCAGUUGAAUUUAGCUAAAUCUGCAGUUUUCAUUACAAUGCCUGAACCUUAUUUAUCUUGCUUCACAAAAAAGAGAGGAUGAAGUACCCAUCUUCCAGUCAUCUGGCAAGCAACAGUCCAGUUCAUAUUGCAUACCUUCUUAGCAAGCAUUAUCGAGUGCCAUUGUAUCCUGAAUAACACAAUUUUUUUGAGGAACCGACAGGAGCGCUGCCUUUUCAUUAAGAAGGGGGAAAUAUGUAGAGGUAUCUUGAAUAGCACAUCACACAGAGGCACACCUAAUUGAAAUUACAUUUGUACAUUAGUAUAUGGUAAACGCACAGAAUGAAUUAAAAUUUAAUUGCAAAGAUAGGAUAAUCCAGACACGAAGUAAUGUCUAAGGACUACGAUCAAAUCAGAAUUAAUCCUGAUGGUUAAUACAGCGAUGAGAAUUCAUUUCAUAACAUUAAUAUAUUAUUGACUUGUGCAAAUUGCAAAAUAAUCAAUCAGUACACUAGCUAAGGAAAGCUGGAGCUGAGCCGUGAGAAUCAAUUAGAGAGAUAAAAUGUGAGAACAUGCAAUGGUCAUAUCUUACUGGCUCCUACACAUCUUCGCGGAGGCUGGUGAACUGGCUCGGAGGUGGCCGUAUCUCACUGGCUCCUGCACAUCUCCACGGCUCAGCUGAAGCGAUCUAUUAUUAGCUCAUUCCACAAGCAACAGAGAGAAGGAAGCAACAAUUGAUUUGCUCAUACCAGUGGAGGCAUCGAACUGUGCCCAGAUAUUGUUGCGCACCCACGCCCGCUCCUUGUUGGCUUGUUGCGGGCCUCGGCGCCCGCCUCGCGCUGGGUCGCCCGUGAGUGCGCUGAGCUCGAGCGCCUCCUUGGGCACUUCGGCGAACGGAUUCAAAGAAGGACGGGGAAGAGCAGGGGCGGGGAAGUCGCGCGCAUCCGACGGAGCCUAACGCUAGGAUGCUCGCGAGCAUGCCGAGCUGGCCAGCUGGGGGACCUCCUCGGCCACUUGGGCGACCGGAUUCGAUGAAAACGCGGGGAAGAGAAGGGGUUGCGAACCUCUUGCUGGCGGUGGGGACGAAGGGGAGGGGUGGCCUGACGAGGUGGAGAGAGGGAGCUGGCGACCAAGGAAGAAUGGGGAACGACGGGGAGAAAUGUGAGGGGCGGUGGGAAGGUAGGUGACGGUGUGGCUAAUUGAAGGUAGGUGGCGAUGCUAGAUGCAUUGAUAUGGGUCAGGAAAAUUAUCAAAAGUCCAAUCGAUCC
rnacentral:lncRNA from 1 species